GAAGGGAAAGGAUCGGCGACUGGGCUGCGGCUGGGCACGAACGGAAGGAGAAGAGGAACGGAGAUGGCCGGCGGCGGUUGCUGCGCGAACGGAGAGAACGGAAGGGAUGGGCGUACGGGAGGAAGAAGAAAGCAAAGGUAAUAAAGGUGGCAAACCGACGAGGGGCAUGAAGGAAACGUGAUUGCCAUAGGGGUUAUUUUAAUUUGCUUCCGCUUAAUGUUUUGUUUCUCGUGUUUUGUUUUCGUACUUGAGAUUGUUUAGAAAAUUUUAUAGUUGAACUGUAUUCACGAAUUAGUAAACAUUUCUUGAAAGUGUUGGCUAUUUUAAAUAGGGCCCAAAUAUAAAUUUUUGUUUUCUUUGAGACUUUGAAAUUAUU